GGCAGGAAUCGGUACAUGGGAGAUCGAUCAAAGCAGGCAGGAAUAUCAAAGGAGUCAGGCUUACGGGGUCGGUCGGAGAACACGGGUUGACGAUCAGGGAUAUGGGAGUGCUGGAACAGGGCAUGAACCGCAACGAUCUGGUGCCGGACCAGUCGUCCCCAUGGUCCUAUAUACACCGAGGCCAAUCAGCCAGCAUGAGGCACAAAUCAGCGCGACCGCGCGGGCACCCACACAGCCAGGGUUGGACCGGCUGGAUCAUGACAACGAUUUGUCACUUUAAACUGCUCCCUCUGCAGAAUUGAUAUUGUUAACACACUUAUCUGUAUAUAGAUUUUACACCUUGCACGUCUUAUAAGGAAUGAUUCCUAUAAACAGAAAUGUCUCUUGUUCUUUGUUCUUGUUGCUAUAUUGUUCCUUGUUCUUUGUUCCGAAUGUCAACUGCCGGAGAAAAAAAUCCUUGUGUGUUUUUACACACUUGGCCAUUAAAGUUGACUCUGAUUCUGAACAAGGUAGGUUUUUUUUUUUCAAAUGUCUUUGUCAAGACAGCUGGGAUGGACUCCUACAACCCUUGUGAGGAUAAGCCAUACAAAAAAAUGAAUGACUGCUUGGAUGUAUUCCAUCAAGAGGAUCUCACUGUGCCCCCGGGUUCAAGUCGAGAAAAUUCCCUCAAGGUAAAGCUUGUUGGCAACAAAGAGUGUUUAAAUGGCAUUUGGAAGCACAUCUAAAGGCUCCGCGUGUGCGUGCGUGUGUGCGUUGGCCACAUAUGGUCAGCACAAUAAUGACACACUUCAAAGUCUACAAACAUCUUUGUGGUCAAAGUCAUGAAAAGAUAAACACACCGAGGAUGCCGAGGAGAAGAUGAAGAGGAGUUCAGGAUGAAGAGGAACACGGGUGAAGGGGUGAAUGUGAGGCGAUCUAACUUUGGUGGGUGUGUGUUGUGGAAAAGACUUCCAAAGAGGUGCUGGUAACCAAGGCGCAAUCGCUGCAUUCCGUGAAAGUGGGAUUGGAAAGCCACCUUGUAAUAUCACCACACUGCAAUGAAUUAUUCAGGAGAAAGAGAGUGCCCCGCGGUUUGCUGGCAACCAGUUCAAGAUGUUAUCCCGCCUCUUGAACUCCUGUGACCCUUGUGAGGAUAAGCAGUUCAGAUAAUGGAUGGAUGGAUAUAUACACUGUGUAUUCUAAUUACACAUUACUUAUAAGAGUAAAAAUAUAUUCUGUAGAAAGAAAAAUAAAUGAAAUGCGUACACAUUUUACAGAUACAAUGAAUAAAAAUGCAUUUUUAAAAACACAAACAAAAAAAUGGAGGAACGGAAAAAUUCAGUUUUCGACCAUGUUAUGUUUGAUUAUCAUGGUUCCUGACCUCAUUAGGUGACAUAUUUCCAAAAUCCCAGCAGUCCGCAUUAAAGAACAAAAAUGGAGAUUGCACAGGAGAGGAAGAUACUGUAUUAGCAUAGCAUUAGCAUCAUCGCUCACAGCAGUCGUCGGGUUGGCGCCUGCGACAUGCUGGGCGCGACGAAUAAUGAGCUGUUUGCAAGUGCACGUGAACAGUAAUUGUGAACAUUCUGGCAAUUAAAUGAGACAAAGACCUCACUCA